rnacentral:rRNA from 1 species
AGCGUAGGCGGGGAUGCAAGUUGAAUGUUUAAACUAUCGGCUCAACUGAUAGUCGCGUUCAAAACUGCAACUCUUGAGUGAAGUAGAGGUAGGCGGAAUUCCUAGUGUAGCGGUGAAAUGCGUAGAUAUUAGGAGGAACACCAGUGGCGAAGGCGGUCUACUGGGCUUUUACUGACGCUGAGGCUCGAAAGCCAGGGGAGCGAACG